GACGAACGCUGGCGGCGUGCUUAACACAUGCAAGUCGAACGGAAAGGCCCUGCUUUUGUGGGGUGCUCGAGUGGCGAACGUGUGAGUAACACGUGAGUAACCUGCCCUUUUCUUUGGGAUAACUUCAGGAAACUUGGGCUAAUACCGUAUAGGAGCUCCUUCUGCAUGGUGGUUGUUGGAAAGUUUCGGCGGUUGGUGAUGGACUCGCGGCUUAUCAGCUUGUUGGUGGGGUAGUGGCUUACCAAGGCUUUGACGGGUAGCCGGCAUGAGAGGGUGACCGGCCACAUGGGGACUGAGAAACGGCCCAGAGUGCAACGGGAGGCAGCAGUGGGGAAUAUUGCACAAUGGGCGGAAGCCUGAUGCAGCAACGCCGCGUGCGGGAUGACGGCCUUCGGGUUGUAAACCGAUUUCGCCUGUGACGAAGCGUGAGUGACGGUAAUGGGUAAAGAAGCACCGGCUAACUACGUG
rnacentral:rRNA from 1 species